rnacentral:rRNA from 1 species
GGCGGCGUGCCUCACACAUGCAAGUCGAACGAUUAAAGCUCUCUUCGGAUAGUGCAUAUAGUGGCGCACGGAUGAGUAACACGUAAGUCAUCUACCCUCUAGUGGGGAAUAACGUCCGGAAACGGACGCUAAUACCGCAUAAUGCAGCGGCACCUGAAGGUGACAGUUGUUAAAGAUUUAUCGCUUGAUGAGGAGCUUGCGGCAGAUUAGCUAUUUGGUAAGGUAAUGGCUUACCAAGGCUACGAUCUGUAACCGGUCUAAUAGGACUGACGGUCACACUGACACUGAAUAACGGGUCAGACUCCUACAGUAGGCAGCAUGCGGGAAUUUUGGGCAAUGGGCCAAAGCCUGACCCAUCAACGCCCCGGGAAGGAUGAAUUAUUUCGGUAUGUAAACUUCUAAAGAAUACGAAGAAUAAAUGACCGUACUAUUUAUAAGGUCCGGCUAACUACGUGCCAACAGCCGCGGUAAUACGUAGGGACCAAGCGUUGUUCGGAUUUACUGGGCGUAAAGGGCGCGUAUGCUGCGUGCUAAGUCACUUGUGAAAUCUCUGAGCUUAACUCAGAACGGCCAAGUGAUACUGCUGUGCUAGAGUGCAGAAGGGGCUAUCGGAAUUCUUGGUGUAGCGGUGAAAUGCGUAGAUAUCAAGAGGAACACCUGAGGUGAAGACGCGUUGCUGUGCUGACACUGACGCUGAUGCGCGAGAACCAGAGGAGCCAACGAGAUUAGAUACCCCGGUAGUCCUGACCCUUAACGAUGAAUACUUGGUGUCUGAGAGUCUUUAAUGCUCCGGGUGCCGUAGCUAACGUGUUAAGUAUUCCGCCUGGGGAGUACGCUCGCAAGAGUGAAACUCAAAGGAAUUGACGGGGACCCGCACAAGCGGUGGAGCAUGUGGUUUAAUUCGACGCAACGCGAAGAACCUUACCUAGGCUAGAAUGUGAGGGAAGAGAGGGUAACUCCGAUCGUUUGGGCAACCAGACGCAAAACAAGGUGCUGCAUGGCGGUGGUCAGCUGGUGUCGUGAGAUGUUGGGUUAAGUCCCGCAACAAGCGCAACCCCUAUUGAUAGUUGCUACCAUUAAGUUGAGAAUUCUAUCAAGACUGCUGUUGAUAAAACGGAGGAAGGUGGGGAUGAUGUCAAGUCAUCAUGGCCUUUAUGCUAAGGGCUACACACGUGCUCCAAUGGAUGGUCCAAAAGGUGGCAAUCUGGUAAGAGGGAGUUAAUCGCAAAAACCAUUCUCAGUUCGGAUUGAAGUCUGCAACUCGACUUCAUGAAGUUGGAAUCGCUAGUAAUCGCGGAUCAGAACGCCGCGGUGAAUACGUUCCCGGGUCUUGUACACACCGCCCGUCACAUCACGAAAGUAGGUUGUACUAGAAGUAGGAGGGCUAACUCGCAAGAGAGGCAUCUUACCACGGUAUGAUUUAUGAUUGGGGUG